rnacentral:rRNA from 1 species
CCGUAACCUCGUCCGUUGGGAGUGGGGAAUAACAGCUGGAAACAGCUGCUAAUACCGCAUAAUAUGUCUGAACCGCAUGGCUCUGGACAUCAAAGAUUUAUCGCUCUGAGAUGGACUCGCGUCUGAUUAGCUAGUUGGUGGGGCAACGGCCCACCAAGGCGACGAUCAGUAGCCGGACUGAGAGGUUGGCCGGCCACAUUGGGACUGAGACACGGCCCAGACUCCUACGGAAGGCAGCAG